rnacentral:lncRNA from 1 species
CUGGCAUGCACUUCUUUUUAUCCUAAAUUGAAGCAGCACUUUUUCGUAUAAACAUCCUUUUGCUUGACAGUAGAAAUGAUGAACAGAGUUGUCUGCUUCUAAGGAUUCCUAUAUAAGCUCUAAAGACCUCAAUGCCGGUGAACCUCAGCAUGGAUGGGCUCUACCUGGUAUGCUGUGUCCUGACUAGAGGUCUGUCUGAUGCCGCACAACUUUUGGAGCACGACCUUAGAGCAAGAGCCAGCGACGCUCAGCCAGUGCUGAGCUCUACGUACAAGGAUCAGCCAGCAACACCAGCGCUGCGGAGUGGAGUGGAUAUUGUCUGUCUUCAACCCACCCUUCCGCCACACAUGUGGGGGUCUCUCCAGCAGAGCUGUGGAUUUGCACAGAUGCAGUGA